rnacentral:misc_RNA from 1 species
CAUGAGUAUGGGACUAACCAGACCAUGACCGCUGACGGAAUGGCGAGCUUCAUUCCGGGCAGGACGUGCCGGAACGCCUCGGUCGUGAACCCCGGCCACGUCUCCCUGAACCUGGCGGACAGCAUGACGUACGCCGCGAGCAUGAGGAAAGACAGCCAGAGCGAGGCGGACGUGGCCACGGCGGCGCCGGCGAAGCCCAUGCCGAGCACGUUGACGAGCGCGUGCGCGACGCCGACGUGCGCCGCCAGCGGGAGCAGCGAGAAGGCGACGAGCGGCGCCACCACGGACUGCGCCUGCAGGAAGCGGAGCGCGCACUGGAUGAAGCCGUAGGCGAACAGCGCCGGGACGGAGUGGCGGAGGAAGUCCGCGGCCAGGCGCGACGUCUCCGGGUCCUGGCGGAGGAAGACCAGCAGCGGCUCCGAGUAGAUCCAGAGGAGGGAGACGACGGCGGAGGCCAGCGCGGAGGUGAGCAGCGACGCCUGCAGGUGCACGCCCAUCGUCCGAUGGAGGCUGUUCGUUGGAUCCAUCCGAUCCGAUCUAGACGUACGUACCAUGAGCGCGAUGCCGGUGACGGUGCCCCAGGAGUUGCCGAGCGUGGCGGCGGCGAGCUGCAGGUCGCCGAGGCGGCCGGCGAACAUGACGGAGACGAGCGGGAUGGCGUAGUAGGCCAUGCUGGUGGCCACCAUGGGCGCCGCGAAGGCCAGCUGCCCCUUCACCUCCGCCCAUGGCCACGCCGACGCCGACGACGCCGCCGGCAGCAGCCCCGUGUCCCCUGCAGCAGUUUUCCCCUGAUCACCAUGGAUGACGGUGAGUCUGAGGUGAUCAUCAUCACCGUUGUUGGCCGGUACCAGCAACGGAACAUUUGCCUCCUCACCCAUUGUUGCUUCAAUUUGCUAUAUCAUGUGUUGUGUGUGUGUGUGCUCCGUCUCUACUGGAUCUGCACGCCAACUAACUCAAGCGCACUGCCACUAUAUAUAGCCAUAGGAAUCCCUUCCCUAUACGCCGGCUAUAGGCUAUACAUAUAUUUUUUUUUUAGAAAGCCAGGAGAACUGCGCAUCAUUUUAAUUAUAGAAGAAAAAGGUCCAAAAUGGACCAAGGUACAAAGCCCUAAGCAGGCUCACUCAAAACCAAAAAACACACACACCACUCCCUAGACCCUGUGAAGGUUACGCGCAAGCACUAAUCCAAAGCUCUGAAGAUGCUUGGCACCAGCCGUAAUCCAACACCCAAUCUCAUCAAGAAAGACGCAUCUGAUAGAGCUUAGCGAAGGGGUCUCCCCAUCAAAGACAGCCUUGUUGCGGUGGAUCCAUAAACACCAGGCCCCUAAAAUGAUGAUGCUGUUCAUGCCCUUUCUCUUGCUUUUAUGUAUCUUCUUACUUGUUUUUCGCCACCAAUCAGCAAAGGAGAUCUCAUCUCUAGAGGGAGAGAGAUUACCAACAUUCAAUCCAAAUAGAAUGGAAUGCCAGAACUGUCUUGCAAAGACACAUGAACACAAAAUAUGUUGUAUGGUUUCCUGCUCUUGAUCACAGAAUAGGCUAUACAUAUAAGUACACUACCUUUUAUUUUUAGUAAUACAACAUCAAUGAGUGGUCAAAAUACCAAUACAGUUAAUUCACUAUGGUGGAAUGGGUCUCCAUUACAUUGUGUGAUAUUACUACGUAUUACUACCUCUGUUCUUAUGUUCUUAAAUAUAUUUAUGUUCUUAAAUAUAUGACGCCGUUGAUUUUUUUAAAACUUUGAUCACUUUGUCUUAUCC